GUGCCAGCCGCCGCGGUAAUACGGAGGGUGCAAGCGUUGUCCGGAAUCACUGGGCGUAAAGGGUGCGCAGGCGGGGCAGCAAGUCGGAGGUGAAGGCCCGUGGCUCAACCACGGAAGUGCCUUCGAAACUGUUGCUCUUGAGUCCCGGAGAGGCUGUCGGAAUUCGUGGUGUAGCGGUGAAAUGCGUAGAUAUCACGAGGAACACCAGAGGCGAAAGCGGACAGCUGGACGGGUACUGACGCUCAGGCACGAAGGCGUGGGGGGCAACCAGAAUUAGAUACCCGUUAGUCC
rnacentral:rRNA from 1 species